rnacentral:misc_RNA from 1 species
AGCAGCCGCGGUAAUUCCGGCUCCAAUAGCGUAUAUUAAAGUUGUUGCAGUUAAAAAGCUCGUAGUUGAAUUUCGGGAUCAGUACGCCGGUCGUGCCUUCGGUAUGCACUGGUGUCACUGGUUUCUCCCUUCUGAAGAACCAUCAUGCCAUUCAGUUGGUGUGGCGGGGAAUCAGGACUGUUACUUUAGAAAAAUUAGAGUGUUUAAAGCAGGCUCGCGCUUGAAUACAUUAGCAUGGGAUAAUGAAAUAGGACGUUUGACCCUAUUUUGUUGGUUUCUAGGAUCGACGUAAUGAUUAAUAGGGAUAGUUGGGGGCAUUAGUAUUCAAUUGUCAGAGGUGAAAUUCUUGGAUUUAUUGAAGACUAACUACUGCGAAAGCAUUUGCCAAGGAUGUUUUCAUUAAUCAAGAACGAAAGUUAAGGGAUCGAAGACGAUCAGAUACCGUCGUAGUCUUAACCAUAAACUAUGCCGACUAGGGAUCGGAUGAUGUUAAUUUUUAAUGUACUCAUUCGGCGUCCG